UACGGAGGAUUCGAGCGUUAUCCGGAUUUAUUGGGUUUAAAGGGAGCGUAGGCGGGUUGUUAAGUCAGUGGUCAAAUUGAGGGGCUCAACCCCUUCCCGCCAUUGAAACUGGCGAUCUUGAGUGGAAGAGAAGUAUGCGGAAUGCGUGGUGUAGCGGUGAAAUGCAUAGAUAUCGCGCAGAACCCCGAUCGCGAAGGCAGCAUGCCGGCUUCCUACUGACGCUGAAGCACGAAAGCGUGGGGAUCGAACAGG
rnacentral:rRNA from 1 species